UGUUGAAGUUCUAACCCCUAGUACCUUAGAAUGUGACUGUAUUUGGAGAGAGAGUCUUUAAAGAGUUACUUAGGUUAAAGUGACAUCAUUAGGGUGUCCAACCCACUGUGACUGGUCCCCUUUUAUGAAGAGGUAACAGACACACAGAGAGGACAGAGCUGGUGAAGACAGAAGGAGAAGACAGCCAUGGAUGAGCCAAGGAAAGAGGCCUCAGAAGAAACCAACCCUUCUGAUACCUUGGUCUUACACUCUGGCCUCCAGAAUCUGAUGGGGUCUCAGUAUGUUGCUCAGGCUGGAGUAUAGUCUCCUACAGUCCAGUGGCGUGACUGUAGCAUACCACAGCCAAGAACUGCUGGACUCAAGAGGUCCUCCCGCCUCAGCCUCCCAAGAGCUGGACCUGCAGAGGCACACGGCCACACCUGGCUGUUCGUGGAGUAGUCACGGUGGUAAUUCUGAGGACACAGAGCUUGGAUGCUUUGUAUGGUUUACUCCUAGUAACUUUGUUAUGACUUGAUUUUUCAUAUUAUUUCUGUUUUUAAAACUGCUAUGAUGGAAAAUUUUGAGAGUCAUUUAGUUAUAUUUGAGUGAACUAAUGUUCAAUUUGCAAAAAGUUUUUUGUUCAUAUUCUUCAAAAAUAGAAGAAGAAGAGGGACAGUCUGAAAAUAGUUUAAAAGAUAUUGCUUUUUGCCAGGGAAGUAACAGAAAAAGGAAUCCAGUUCAGCAAGCAACCUGAAUGCCUGCAGCAGCGUUACACGUCUUAGUCUGGAUCAGUCAACUUCUGCUGUGGUAAUGAACAAUCCCAGCAUCUUAUGGCUUCAAUCAUGAACAAUUAUUUCUUGGUCUUCAGGGCUGAGAGUCAGCUUUGCAUCUCCUGGGCUCUGUUGGCAUCAUGGAUCUUCUGUUUCAAAGAAUCCAGAUUGAAAGAGUAACCUUUGAUGAUACUGAUGUGGAUAAAAUACUCGACUCAUAGGCUGGAGUGCAGUGGCACGAUCUCAGCUCACUACAAUCUCUGCCAACUGGGUUCAAGCAGUUCUCCUGCCUCAGCCUCCCAAGUAUCUGGGAUUACAGGGACGAUCUCCUCACUGAAGCAAAUUCACGUAUCUCCUGGCAGGCCUUGGGUUUACCACUGCUCACCUGGCAAAAGCAUUUUCCCCAGUAGGAUAAGCAGGUGUGCCAUUUCCCGAGGGUAUGCGGCACACCCUUACUUUCUAACUCAAGGUCAAGUUCAUCAUCUUCAACUCUGCCUCUAGGAAUGAGGAACUCUGGAGAGCUUCUUUGGAUUUUGGAGGCAAUGUGGCUCAUAUUUAAAUAGCUUGCUUUGACCCAUUUGCCGGGAAAUCUGAAAGCAACUUUGGUCCAUGGUUAAUGUUUGAUACUGUGUCCAUCUACGCUGAGCUUCUACACCUGAGUGGAGGACAAGAGUCCCUGGGUGUGCUUGGAACUGGUGGUGGGUGUGAGGGGAUGGUGCUGUCAGAGGCCUGAAAGAUGAUCUGACGACCUCUGCAUCUCAUGAGUCAGGCUCCUGGAAGAACUGUGGGGAGUCUCCCAAAUCAUGAAACCAGAAAAUGAGAACAGACGUCUCACAUUUCCUCUUAAGCUGAAUAAAAGCUUACCUCAUCCUGAUGUUAAGAGCUGCUUUGUUCAUUCCACGUGAGCCUACCUUGUAGCAAGGGGGCUUAUUUAUAAACCUAACAGCAGAAACCUGCUUACUUUAAAAUAAGCAGUGAAAGGGCAAAGCAAAGAAGAAAGAUGGCAGAUGGAAGUGAAACGGAUGUGAUCAGUGGCAGUAUAUAAAGUUAACAUUUCCCUCUUAUUCAUAAAAAGAAGUGGAUACUUGGCUGGGUGUGAUAGCUCACACCUGUAAUCCCAGCACUUUGGGAUGCCAAGGAGGGCAGAUUACUGGAGGUCAGGAGUUUGAAACCAGCCUGACCAACAUGGUGAAACUCUGACUCUACUAAAAAUACAAAAAAAAAAAAAAAAAAUUAUCCUUGUUUGACGGCACGUGUCUGUAAUCCCAGCUACUCAGGAGGCUGAGGCAGAAUUGCUGGAACCCGGGAGGUGGAGGUUGCAGCGAGCUGAGAUCAUGCCACGGCACUCCAGCCUGGCGUCACAGUGAGAUUCUGUCUUCAAAAAAAAAAAAAAAAAGAAAGAAAAUUUUAUCACCCAGAGAUAACCACUGCUAGCCUACGGCCUAUUCGAAUCUUGUCUUUUUCCUAUGCUAUAAAGAUGACAUGUGUUUAUGUAUUGAAGUGGGAUAACAGUGUGUAUUGUUAUUUAUAGUCUGUUUUCAAAGUUUUCAUUAUGGUACUCAUCUUUGCAUGCCGAUACAUACAUACAUAUAUAUAUAUAUAUAUACACACACACACACACAUAUAUUUGACAGAAUCUUGCUCUGGCUGGAGUGCAGUGGUGUGACCUCUGCCUACUUAGUUCAAGUGGUUCUCCUGUCCCAGCCCCCUGAGUAGCUGGGAAUAUAGACCUGCACCACCAUGCCUGGCUGCUUUUUUAAUUUUAAUUUUUAGUACAGAUGGGGUUUCACCAUGCUGGCUAGGCUGGUCUUGAACUCCUGACCUCAGGAGAUCCACCUGCCACAACUUCCCAAAGGGCUGGAUUACAGGUGUGAGCCACCGCAUGGCCAUCAAUAAAUAUUCUUAAGCCAUAUGAUUUCUAUGGGUACCUAGAAUUCUCUCAAACAGAAAAUGGCAUAAAUUUCUCAACCAGUGCCUUACUCUUCUGCACAUAGUGACCAAUGCUCUGGCAGAGGCCACCUGCCAUGACAGAAAAUUUGGUGGGUCUGCCUCCACAAGGAGUCUCACCAUACAUGGCUUUACUGGAUGCCUGCAUGCUAUUGGAAGACAUCUGAGAUCAACAGUUAUUCUAUGUAUUAAAAUAACUUAAGAUUUUCUUCUCUGUAGAUUUCCCCAAUUCCUCUUUUUGACAUUAGCCAUAGUAACUAAUAUUUAUAUCACAUUUUAAUGUAACCUCUGUCAGUUCUUGGAAUAACAUUUGUGCAGCAAUUAAUUUUACCUAAAAGACACAAUGCAGACCGCAAAACAAUUUUAUUACAAUGUCACUGAUGUGAGUCAUUCAUUUGGGAGAUACUUACUGAGUGCCUAAAAUAAAACCAUCUAGGCAGGCAAUAUUCUACAAACACUGAGCUUCCAUAAUGUAGAAAGAUACUAAGAAAUAUAACUUCUUUUAAAGGAUUUGCCUUCUUUUUUUGAGACAUAGAGUUUUGUUGCUGUUGCCCAGUCUGGAAUGCAAUGGUGCAAUCUCAGCUCACUGCAACCUCCGCCUCCUGGGUUCAAGCGAUUGUCCUGUCUCAGCCUCCCAAGUAGCUGGGAUUACAGGCAUGUGCUGCCACGCCUGGCUAAUUUUGUAUUUUUAUUAGAGACGGGGUUUCUCCAUGUUGGUCAGGCUGGUCUCGAUCUCCUGACCUCAGGUGUUCUGCCCGCCUCAGCCUCCUAAUGUGCUGGGAUUACAGGUGUGAGCUACAAUGCCCCACCUAAAGGAUUUCCUUUGUACAUAGAGAUAUAAGACAUAGAACCAAGACUAAUUAAAUGACAGUACAAAAGAGGUCGUGAGGCAGUUUCCAAUGAUGAAUACAACAGGCCAUUGGGGCUGUCAUUGUUUAAAGAUUGGUCCCUAUGGAUGGGAACAGUCAGAAAAGGCUUCAUGGGAAACACACUAAAUCUUAAAAGGAUUGAGAAGAUAGAAAUAAAACGGGAGAGCUUUCAUGAAGGCUGGGAGACAAACUCCUUUCUCCACCGGGAACAGUAAGUUGAGCUCACAGGAUGUGUAGGAGUAGGAGGUAAUCUGAACGCUGGAUCACUGCGGGGUGGAAGAGGCCCUGGAGCUCCAGUCUAUCGCAGCCUGGGCUCCACCCUGAAUCGUGAGACGGGGGUUUGGAGCAGUGCAGUGACAUGGUGGCACGACACCCUGAUGUGGCAAAAGGGAAUUCAGAGUCUUCACGUCUCUUAAAACCUCUGUGGCAGGACUUUGAAUUUAUGUUGGACAAUUGUUUACCCAUCACCUUCUUUCCUCUUGCUUGUUGACUGGGAUUCACUUGCAGAAACUGGCCUAGUAGUAAAAUAGUUACAAAUUCCUAUGUAGGCUGGGCACAACGGCUCACACCUGUAAUUC
ensembl:lncRNA